GCGCUUCACUUCGGUGAGGAGCGGCGGACGGGUUAGUAACGCGUGGGAAUAUACCCUUCACUAUGGAAUAGCCUCGGGAAACUGAGAGUAAUACCAUAUACGCCCUUCGGGGGAAAGAUUUAUCGGUGAAGGAUUAGCCCGCGUAAGAUUAGAUAGUUGGUGGGGUAAUGGCCUACCAAGUCUACGAUCUUUAGCUGGUUUGAGAGGAUGAUCAGCAACACUGGGACUGAGACACGGCCCAGACUCCUACGGGAGGCAGCAGUGGGGAAUCUUAGACAAUGGGCGCAAGCCUGAUCCAGCCAUGCCGCGUGAGUGACGAAGGUCUUAGGAUCGUAAAGCUCUUUCGCCAGAGAUGAUAAUGACAGUAUCUGGUAAAGAAACCCCGGCUAACUCCGUGCCAGCAGCCGCGGUAAUACGGAGGGGGUUAGCGUUGUUCGGAAUUACUGGGCGUAAAGCGUACGUAGGCGGAUUGGAAAGUAGGGGGUGAAAUCCCAGGGCUCAACCCUGGAACUGCCUCCUAAACUAUCAGUCUAGAGUUCGAGAGAGGUGAGUGGAAUUCCAAGUGUAGAGGUGAAAUU
rnacentral:rRNA from 1 species